UACGGGGGGGGCAAGCGUUGUUCGGAAUUACUGGGCGUAAAGGGCUCGUAGGCGGCCAACUAAGUCGGAUGUGAAAUCCCCAGGCUUAACCUGGGAACUGCAUCCGAUACUGGAUGGCUUGAAUCCGGGAGAGGGAUGCAGAAUUCCAGGUGUAGCGGUGAAAUGCGUAGAGAUCGGGAAGAACAUCGGUGGCGAAGGCGCUCUACUGGACCACAACUGACACUCAGGGACGAAAGCUAGGGGAGCGAAUGGG
rnacentral:rRNA from 1 species